rnacentral:rRNA from 1 species
CUCUGUGACUCCUACGGGAGGCAGCAGUGGGGAAUAUUGCACAAUGGGGGAAACCCUGAUGCAGCCAUGCCGCGUGUGUGAAGAAGGCCUUCGGGUUGUAAAGCACUUUCAGUAGGGAGGAAGGUAGUGUAGUUAACACCUGCAUUAUUUGACGUUACCUACAGAAGAAGCACCGGCUAACUCCGUGCCAGCAGCCGCGGUAAUACGGAGGGUGCGAGCGUUAAUCGGAAUUACUGGGCGUAAAGCGCAUGCAGGCGGCCUGUUAAGUCAGAUGUGAAAGCCCGGGGCUUAACCUCGGAAUUGCAUUUGAAACUGGCAGGCUAGAGUCUUGUAGAGGGGGUAGAAUUUCAGGUGUAGCGGUGAAAUGCGUAGAGAUCUGAAGGAAUACCAGUGGCGAAGGCGGCCCCCUGGACAAAGACUGACGCUCAGAUGCGAAAGCGUGGGAGCAAACAGGAUUAGAUACCCUGGUAG